GAAUCUUUCACAAUGGACGAAAGUCUGAUGGAGCAAUGCCGCGUGUGUGAAGAAGGUUUUCGGAUCGUAAAACUCUGUUGUGAGGGAAUAACAAGUUCGAGAGUAACUGUUCGUCCCUUGCCGGUACCUCAUUAGAAAGCCAUGGCUAACUACUUGCCAGCAGCCACGUGAAUACGUAUGUGGCAAGCGUUUUCCGGAAGUAUUGGGCGUAAAGCGCGCGCAGGCGGUCCUUUAAGUCAGAUGGGAAAUCCCACGGCACAACCGUGGAAGGUCAUUGGAAACUGGGGGACUUGAGUACAGAAGAGGAAAGCGGAAUUCCAAGUGUAGCGGUGAAAUGCGUAGAGAUUUGGAGGAACACCAGUGGCGAAGGCGGCUUUCUGGUCUGUAACUGACGCUGAGGCGCGAAAGCGUGGGGAGCAAACA
rnacentral:rRNA from 1 species